CUUUGCAGGAACAGCAGAACAGGCAGUGAGGGACUGAAUAUAGGUGUAAAGGGCAGGAAGAACAAUUACUGAAACGUGCUUCUACAAGGCAGAGCAGAGCACAAGAGGCUAGACAGAGCAUUUCAUUGUCUGAUUACAUCUAUUGAUGGGCUUACAGUGGAUCUGAUUUUAACAGCACCUGCUGAUUUUAUGGCCCUUCCCAAGCAUACCUAAGCAUCUGGCGGUUUCCCUCUUCGUCCUACUAUAUAAAGGAUUGAUUGUACCUUACACUGUAGACACUGAUCCUGCUUUAAUUAAAGAUCAACAGAGAGAACUCUCAGGAUGCCAGCAAUCUAUUCCAGUUCAUCACUAUUGCUGUAUUCAGAAUAAGCUGUUUCUUUCAUGUGGGGGGAAAACUUUAUGAUCAUAGUGCUCUCUCUUUUUUGCUUCACAUGCUGAGCAACCACAGUUUAUUCAAUCUUUUUCAAAAUAAGAAAAAGUUAAGGAAUGUAUCUAGGGCUCAUUCAUAUGAAUCUGAUUUUCCAUAUUUUCUUAACAUAGAAAAGUGAUGCUGAGUUGGAUAAAAUUGAAGUCUAUGUUUGUAAUUGUUCCUUCUGCCAAUAUUGAGGUUAAGAUUGAAUUUCUGAUAUUAUUUCUUUUGCUGACUAUUACUGUUUAGUAUUUGUAUGCCCUUAUAGAAGAGACUAGAUUUGUGUGAUUUGCUACAAUUCCCUUAGAAUUAUGUAAAGAUUAUGAAACAUUAUUCUGUUUAUAAUUCAUUUCAUCUUAAAAUUGGGGGAAAAAAAUCAGUUUGGAAAAUUCUAAGGAAAUUGAGCUUUAUUAGAUAAAUUUUAAAAAGAAUUGAAAAUGAAGGUAAUGAAACUAG
ensembl:lncRNA